rnacentral:rRNA from 1 species
GUGCCAGCAGCCGCGGUAAUACGGAGGGGGCUAGCGUUGUUCGGAAUUACUGGGCGUAAAGGGCACGUAGGCGGCUUGGAUCGCAAGAUGUGAAAGCCCUGGCUCAACCUUGGAACUGCAUUUUGAACUGGCGGACUGAGUUGUGAAAAAGGUGGUAGAAUUUCCCGUGUAGCGGUGAAUGCGUAGAUAUUGGGGGAAUACCGUGGCGAAGGCGGCCACCUGGACCAAACUGACGCUGAGGAGCGAAAGCGUGGGGAGCAAACAGGAUUAGAUACCCUGGUAGUCCACGCCGUAAACGAUGUCAAGUGGUUGUUGGACGGCUUGCUGUUCCGGACGUAUCUAACGCGUGAAGUUGACCGCCUGGGGAGUACGGCCGCAAGGUUGAAACUUCAGGAAUUGACGGGA